UGGCGUCUAGGCCUGACGCUUUAAUGGCUUUCUUGUUUAAUUUGACAGAGGUAGCACCAGCUCUCUGCAGGUGGAAGUAACGGGACAGAUGAAGAAAAGGCGAACGUUCAGCGUCAAGUGGCUUCCAGUUCUGCAGAGCACCCUUUCAUCAUGCUGAAAUGCGACUGGCCUCCUGUGUCUUCUCUCCCCAGGCAUUGCUCUUACUUCACCUGGUUCUUGUCUGUCCCAUUUUGUUCAGUCAUUUCUAGGCUCCUUUGAAAUUUCAUGCCCCCCCCCUUUUUUUUUAAUCAAGAUUGCCUAAUAAAAAAUAAUGGUAAGAUUUCAAGCCUGA